rnacentral:rRNA from 1 species
GAUGAACGCUGGCGGCGUGCUUAACACAUGCAAGUCGAACGAUGAACCGGGUGCUUGCACUCGGGGAUUAGUGGCGAACGGGUGAGUAACACGUGAGCAACCUGCCCCUGACUCUGGGAUAAGCGCUGGAAACGGCGUCUAAUACUGGAUAUGUCCCGUCACCGCAUGGUGUGCGGGUGGAAAGAUUUUUCGGUUGGGGAUGGGCUCGCGGCCUAUCAGCUUGUUGGUGAGGUAAUGGCUCACCAAGGCGUCGACGGGUAGCCGGCCUGAGAGGGUGACAGGCCACACUGGGACUGAGACACGGCCCAGACUCCUACGGGAGGCAGCAGUGGGGAAUAUUGCACAAUGGGCGGAAGCCUGAUGCAGCAACGCCGCGUGAGGGAUGACGGCCUUCGGGUUGUAAACCUCUUUUAGCAGGGAAGAAGCGAGAGUGACGGUACCUGCAGAAAAAGCACCGGCUAACUACGUGCCUGCAGCCGCCGUAA